CUGCGACAAUCUCCAGGGAAUUGCCGAAUCUUGCACCUGCGAAGUGCUUCUCAACGCCACCAAGUCUUUUGUCCCGGUUGAUCUGCCAGCAAAAUGUGAGAUGGAACAACUGCAAGUUCAAUGCAAACAAGGUACGUACCUGUGGUUCAGUUUCUAGCGAUCGAGAGCUCAACUCUCUCCUGGCCAGAUACAGCACCAGCAGCAUCAGCAGCAGUAACUCUUGUCCAAACCCAUAGAGGUGAGAAACAAAAGCAGGGACAGACUAGUUUCUCAAAACCUUGUUUUAACGCUGUGUGUCCUCAGAACAUCACCGUCAUCAGCAGUUGAGUUACUGUUAUGAUACGGACGACGAUGUACCACC
rnacentral:lncRNA from 1 species